CUUUGUACAUUCAUUUCUCUAUGAACACUUAGAUUGUUGCCAUAUCUUAACUAUUGUAAUUAAUGCUGUAGUGAACAAAGGGGUACAUAUAUAAUUCAAGUUUGUGUUUUCAUUUUCUUCAGAUAAA